GAUGAACGCUGGCGGCGUGCCUAACACAUGCAAGUCGAACGAGGCAAAUAAGUUGAAGUUUUCGGAUGGAUUCUUAUUUACCGAGUGGCGGACGGGUGAGUAACGCGUGGGUAACCUGCCUCAUACAGGGGGAUAACGGUUAGAAAUGACUGCUAAUACCGCAUAAGCGCACAGUACCGCAUGGUACGGUGUGAAAAACUCCGGUGGUAUGAGAUGGACCCGCGUCUGAUUAGCUAGUUGGUGAGGUAACGGCCCACCAAGGCGACGAUCAGUAGCCGACCUGAGAGGGUGACCGGCCACAUUGGGACUGAGACACGGCCCAG
rnacentral:rRNA from 1 species